rnacentral:snoRNA from 1 species
CACUCCCCUUUUCCUUUACCAUUGGGCUUAUGUCUUCAUUGGUCAUUCAAAGGGGGAAAAGGAAAUAUCCUUUUAAAACUCAGAGGCCAGGUGCAGUGACUCUUGCCUGUAAUCCUAGAAUUUUAGGAGGCACAGGU